GAUGAACGCUAGCGGCAGGCCUAACACAUGCAAGUCGAGGGGUAGCAGGAUUAAGCUUGCUUAAUUGCUGACGACCGGCGCACGGGUGCGUAACGCGUAUGCAACCUACCUUAUACUGGGGUAUAGCCCGGAGAAAUUCGGAUGAAUCCACCAUAGUACUAAUGAAUCGCAUGGUUUAUUAGUUAAAGCAUUGCGGUAUAAGAUGGGCAUGGGUCCUAUGAGCUAGAUGGUGAGGUAACGGCUCACCAUGGCUACGAUAGGUAGGGGGCCUGAGAGGGUAGUCCACCACCCUGGUACUGAGACACGGACCAGACUCCUACGGGAGGCAGCAGUGAGGAAUAUUGGUCAAUGGGCGCAAGCCUGAACCAGCCAUGCCGCGUGCAGGAAGAAUGCCCUAUGGGUUGUAAACUGCUUUUAUUUGGGCAUAAACCUCUUUACGUGUAGAGAGCUGAAGGUACCAAAUGAAUAAGCACCGGCUAACUCCGUGCCAGCCGCCGCGGUAA
rnacentral:rRNA from 1 species